AUCGCUUCUUGGCCUUUUGGCUAAGAUCAAGUGUAGUAUCUGUUCCUGUCAGCAAUUGUGCUUGAUAAUGCAUAUAUUCCCCCCU